rfam:Desulfococcus multivorans DSM 2059 ctg5, whole genome shotgun sequence.
AUUGAUAAUGCCAAACCUGCCGUGAGACAGGGACGGAAAGCCACGGGUCUGAACAGACAGCCGGGUUGCCCAAG